rnacentral:rRNA from 1 species
UACGUAGGUGGCAAGCGUUGUCCGGAUUUAUUGGGUUUAAAGGGUGCGUAGGCGGUCUAUUAAGUCAGUGCUGAAAUAUCCCGGCUUAACCGGGAGGGUGGCAUUGAUACUGAUGGACUUGAGUAAAAGUUUGAGGUUGGCGGAAUUGACGGUGUAGCGGUGAAAUGCUUAGAUAUCGUCAAGAACACCUAUUGCGAAGGCAGCUAACUAGAUAAACUGACGCUGAGGCACGAAAAGUGUGGGGGAUCAAAACAGGG